UUUCCGUAGGUGAACCUGCGGAAGGAUCAUUAAUGAAUUCACUAUGGAGUUGUUGCUGGCCUCUAGGGGCAUGUGCACGCUUCACUAGUCUUUCAACCACCUGUGAACUUUUGAUAGAUCUGUGAAGUCGUCUUUCAAGUCGUCAGACUUGGUUGCUGGGAUUUAAACGUCUCGGUGUGACUACGCAGUCUAUUUACUUACACACCCCAAAUGUAUGUCUACGAAUGUUAUUUAAUGGGCCUUGUGCCUAUAAACCAUAAUACAACUUUCAACAACGGAUCUCUUGGCUCUCGCAUCGAUGAAGAACGCAGCGAAAUGCGAUAAGUAAUGUGAAUUGCAGAAUUCAGUGAAUCAUCGAAUCUUUGAACGCACCUUGCGCCCCUUGGUAUUCCGAGGGGCAUGCCUGUUUGAGUGUCAUUAAAUUCUCAAACUCACUUUGGUUUCUUUCCAAUUGUGAUGUUUGGAUUGUUGGGGGCUGCUGGCCUUGACAGGUCGGCUCCUCUUAAAUGCAUUAGCAGGACUUCUCAUUGCCUCUGCGCAUGAUGUGAUAAUUAUCACUCAUCAAUAGCACGCAUGAAUAGAGUCCAGCUCUCUAAUCGUCCGCAAGGACAAUUUGACAAUUUGACCUCAAAUCAGGUAGGACUACCCGCUGAACUUAA
rnacentral:rRNA from 1 species